CCGGCUAAUUUUUUGUAUUUUUAGCAGAGACGGGGUUUCACCCUGUUAGCCAGGAUGGUCUCAUCUCCUGACCUCGUGAUCCGCCCGCCUAGGCCUCCCAAAGUGCUGGGAUUACAGGCGUGAGCCACCGCGCCCGGCCUAAUAAAGGACAAUUUUUAAUAGCCACUGGACUAUUUAAGUGAUCUCUUCUGUCAGUUUCUUUUACCAUCAGAGGACACAGCAGCAAGGUGCCAUCCUAGAAGCAGAGAGCAGACCCUUACCAGACAACCAACCAGCUGGUGCCAUGAUCUUGGACUUCUCGGCCUCCAGAACUGCACUUAAACACGCAGCAUGAGGAAAAUGGAACAACAAUCUUGAGCAACACCACACCCUCCUGAUCACCAUAGCUUUAUGCAACAACAAGAAACAAAUUUAUUAGCUAACCUAACCACUAAUGACGCAAGAGACAAUUCUAAGGACUUUCAAAACAGCAAAGUAGGAGCAGCUGCUACCUCUAGGGAUGAGGGAGAAACUCAAAAAUGCAUACAAAAACCAUUGCAUGAAAAGUGACUGGAUUUGUACAUAGCGUCAGGAGAUGUGCGUAGUGUCAAAGUAUCUCAUCACACAUUACUUGAUAAUUACAAAUGAGAAAAAUGAACCUUCACAGUGGCAAGACUUGACUUCUACCUCUUUCAAAAAGAUGCAAUUGUCCAAUUAUUGGUGAAAUUGUCAUUUCAUGCUAUUGGCUAUUUGAAAUUCCUCCUCUAAUUUCAGAAUAAAUCACUGAAAUUGACAUCGGCCAGUCUGAAUUUCAAGAAAUUACCUGCUGAAGACAAGAGGGAUCUCUUCUUCAGAUUUGCAGUCUGGGGAAGACACAGCCUCUACUGUACUUUAGAACCUGAGAUAUGGUGGUGGAGGGAGCCCUGGGUCGAGUGGUAAGAUUCACCCUUAGGUUAGUAUUGACGUAAGGUGACGAGGAGCUGUAGACAAAAGAUUGUAACCAUAAGAACUUCAUAGUUUUUGUAUUUUCACCGAGCUUAUAUUUGGUGUGUUUUUUGUCUUUUCUUUAUGAUUAUCAAUAAAAUGCUUGAAAGGAG
rnacentral:lncRNA from 1 species